UUUUGCGGUCUUGUGGAGGCGACCGCGCUGGCAAUGGAUGAUCUGGAAAGCCAAGCGUCUCUCUUUGAACUUGAUGCAGCUCUCUCCGAGACUUUCCGAGUCCUCCUCGGCCAGCGCGGGAAUGCUACUGCGCUAGCAAAAUGAUCCCAACGGGAAGGAGCUGGAGACUACUAGACUUGGAGCAAAUCGGGGAGUGGAGGAUUAAUUUUAAUUUAUGAGGGAUCUUCAAAAAGUUUCCGCACUUUUAUAGUUUGGUUGGAAACGGUAAGGGCAGGAGGAGUAGUUACUGGUCGUGUCUGAGAGACUGAAAGAGAGCUUAUAGUCCGGACUGAAGGCCUCCACAUACUUCCUGCGAAACUAAGUUCGCGAGCGUUGCACGAAGCCGAACACGCCUUUGCGAGCUUACAAGCUGGCAUACUUUCAGCGGUUUCGUUUUACCGGUCACGUCUGAUCCACAGCCGCAGGUGACGCUGUGAAAUUUAUGAUGUUAAGUUCCAUGACUACCGAAAAACAAUGAUCACAGUUAUGGCGACGUGCAAGGUAUUGAAAGCGUAUAAAAAAUGCUACAAGAAGAAGCAGAGAAGGAACAAUCGGAGUGUCUUUAUAAUCUCUCAGCGAGGAAUCAUAAAGGUAUGAAUGUGUGGAAUGUGGAAAAGCGUGACGGGGCCCUAGUUUCAUUUUGGAGUUCAGCAGUGUUCCUUCAUAUCAUACAGGAAGAUAUCAGCAUUUUUCUGACCUCCAGGACACCGGUUUCAACUACCUAAUCAAUUCAUUAACAAGCCUGAACUGGGCUGGGUAGAAACGAAAAGAGAAACAAUGCAAAGCAGGGGUAAUUCUGGAUUGAGAAACGCCAAACUACAGCAUGUAAAGAAUGCAAUGU